AUUGAACGCUGGCGGCAUGCCUUACACAUGCAAGUCGAACGGCAGCACGGGAGCAAUCCUGGUGGCGAGUGGCGAACGGGUGAGUAAAGUAUCGGAACGUGCCCAGUCGUGGGGGAUAACGUAGCGAAAGUUACGCUAAUACCGCAUACGAUCUAUGGAUGAAAGCGGGGGAUCGCAAGACCUCGCGCGAUUGGAGCGGCCGAUAUCAGAUUAGGUAGUUGGUGGGGUAAAGGCUCACCAAGCCGACGAUCUGUAGCUGGGCUGAGAGGACGACCAGCCACACUGGGACUGAGACACGGCCCAGACUCCGACGGGAGGCAGCAGUGGGGAAUUUUGGACAAUGGGCGAAAGCCUGAUCCAGCCAUGCCGCGUGCAGGAUGAAGGCCUUCGGGUUGUAAACUGCUUUUGUACGGAACGAAAAGGUUUGGGCUAAUAAGCUGAGCUCAUGACGGUACCGUAAGAAUAAGCACCGGCUAACUACGUGCCAGCAGCCGCCGUAA
rnacentral:rRNA from 1 species